rnacentral:rRNA from 1 species
CCCUUAGACGUUCUGGGCCGCACGCGCGCUACACUGACACAGGCGACGAGCUUUCCUUUACCGAAAGGUAUGGGUAAUCUUUUGAAACUGUGUCGUGCUGGGGAUAGAUCCUUGCAAUUUUUGAUCUUAAACGAGGAAUUCCUAGUAAGCGCGAGUCAUCAACUCGCGUUGAUUACGUCCCUGCCCUUUGUACACACCGCCCGUCGCUACUACUGAUUGGAUGUUUAAGCGAGGUUCUCGAACUGCUAGCGACUUAGCUUCGGUGAGGUCGCAGUGUGGGAAGUGAACCUAGCUUUGGUGUCUAGAGGAAGUAAAAGUCGUAACA